UUAGGAAUCGUCUACAAUGCGCGCAAGCGUGAUAGCGCGAGCCAGAGUGCCUCUCAAUGAGAGGCUUUUGCCAAAUCUAAAAAGUUUGGCGAAUAAGGACUGGGUAAGACUAGUGCCAGCCGCCGCGGUAAUCCUAGCGGUCCAAGUCGCAGCCAACAUUAUUGGGUCUAAAACAUCCGUAGCUUGCUUGAUAAGUUCCCUGUGAAAUUCUGCGUCUUAAAUGCAGAGCGUGCAAGGAGUACUGUCAAGCUAGAGACUGGAAGACGUGGAGAGUACGUUCGAAGUAGUGGUAAAAUACGUUAAUCUCGGACGGACUUACAAUAGCGAAGGCACUCCACGAGGACAGUUCUGACAGUGAGGGAUGAAGGCUAGGGUCGCGAAAGGGAUUAGAUACCCCCGUAGUCCCUGAGCGGGCUGGCAAGGCGCAU
rnacentral:rRNA from 1 species